GCGUCUUCGGGGACUUUUCCGGCAUGAAGCUCCGGCCAUCUUUGCUUAAUCCGGAUUAUUCCUGUGAAUCCAAGGGCAAAAGGUGCGUUGUUACUAUGAUAUGUUAAGCCUUCUAUAUUCACGUUAUGCAUUGGUAAUGCUUGGGGAGAAGCAGCACUUCUUUUGGCAGCUGGUGCUCAGGGAAGCCGUUCUGCAUAGCUCUCGUCAACAAUAAUGACAAAGCAGGUUAAGCUUUAUGCCGGCGGCCAAAAUAUUCGAGUCCCAGCAAAGCAGUUGAAUAUGAUAUCAUAGAUAAG